rnacentral:lncRNA from 1 species
CCGGUCCAAAAGAAUCAAAACAGAGCAGAAACAGGAUCCGAUCCAAGUGAUAUCAUGCCCAAGCGUUGCAAGGAGGAUGCCCGGGCGAGAAUUGAAGGUCAUGUAAGGCUUGGGAGUCAGAUUUGGACGCCCAAGCUACGAAGCGCCACCGCCCAGGCGUCGAUUCUGGUCGCACGGUUUACGCUCCUGGACGCUCGGGCUUUGCAUUUUCCCUCCUUUUGGUGCCUUUUUAGUCUCUUCUGAGCUCCAUCUUCUUGGCUUUUCACCUCUUUUUCCAGUAUUACCUCAACCUCUGUCAAAACAAGGGGAAUUUGUUAGCAAACCAUUGAAAUCAACCUCAACUCUCUUAUUCACACAUUUUACUGAAAACACAUGAGUCCAAGCAAGUUUCUAAGUGAAAAAAGGGUGCUUUUAGUAUCAAAAUCACAUAACAAAUAACGGUGUUUUAAACCGUUAUCACUUACUACUCUUAAUAUCAAAAUAAUUAGGAAAUCCAUGUUUACGAUAGCAAGUGCUUUCAGUGUGACCAGGUCGACCACAAAAUGUACACACGGAUGCGAUGGUGACAGUAGCAUGAACUGCGUUGGCAGAGUUGGAUUUUGUUUCUGCACUAAAAAUAUUAGGAAUAGAAAAUUGGCGUUCUUGUUGGGCUACAUAUGUGUCGCAACCGGAAUCCCGACGGGACGACGAUCCAAAAAGAAAAUCGUUUUGAAAAAGAGUUUUGGAGUCACCACCAUAGUUUAUUCUGGAAAACUACGGAAAAACCGUAAAAUGAUAAGGCAAGGUCUACAAA